rnacentral:rRNA from 1 species
CAAUAGCGUAUAUUAAAGUUGUUGCAGUUAAAAGCUCGUAGUCGGAUUUUGGCAUCAUGCCGAACUGUCAGCCGAUUGGUUUGUACGGUUUGGCGGGUGCUCUCCUUCCGGAGGCUCGUUUCCUCUUUCAUUAGAGGGUUCGAUGGUUCCGGGUCUUUUACUUUGAAAAAUUAGAGUGUUCAAAGCAGGCCUAUGCUCUGAAUAGGUUAGCAUGGAAUAAUAAGAUAAGACUUGGGUCAUUAUUUUGUUGGUUUGCGGAUCGAGGUAAUGAUUAAUAGGGAUAGUUGGGGGUAUUCAUAUUUAAUUGUCAGAGGUGAAAUUCUUGGAUUUAUGAAAGAUGAACUUAGGCGAAAGCAUUUACCAAGGAUGUUUUCAUUAAUCAAGAACGAAAGUUAGGGGAUCGAAGAUGAUCAGAUACCAU